rnacentral:rRNA from 1 species
UUGCUAGUAAUCGCGAAUCAGAAUGUCGCGGUGAAUACGUUCCCGGGCCGUUGUACACACCGCCCGUCACACCAUGAGAGUCGAUAACACCCGAAGCCUGUGAGCUAACCGCAAGGAGGCAGCAGUCGAAGGUGGGGUUGAUGAUUGGGGUGAAGUCGUAACAAGGUAAC